rnacentral:other from 1 species
CGCUGCCUGCGGUGUUCGAUGCGGAUCGGGUUACCUCCUGACCCUAAUUUUGUAAACCCCAGGGGCCAAUGCUUGCUGGCAACAUUGUGCAAGUCCGCUUCGAGCGGAAAGCCUUAAGUGCCGCAGUCGGCCCCACCUGUUGCUCAGGUCGGGAGCAACGGUCCAAAACGGCACAUGCGGGCAGCGC